UACGGAGGGUGCAAGCGUUAAUCGGAAUUACUGGGCGUAAAGCGUGCGCAGGCGGUUUGUUAAGUCUGCCGUGAAAUCCCCGAGCUCAACUUGGGAAUUGCAGUGGAUACUGGCAAGCUGGAGUACGGUAGAGGAAGGUGGAAUUCCCGGUGUAGCAGUGAAAUGCGUAGAGAUCGGGAGGAACACCAGUGGCGAAGGCGGCCUUCUGGACCAGUACUGACGCUCAUGCACGAAAGCGUGGGGAGCAAACAGG
rnacentral:rRNA from 1 species